UACGUAGGGGGCAAGCGUUGUCCGGAUUUACUGGGCGUAAAGCGCGCGUAGGCGGAAGCUCAAGUCUGGCCUGAAAGCCCCCGGCUCAACCGGGGAGUGGGGCUGGAAACUGGGUUUCUCGAGGGCGAUAGAGGAGUGUGGAAUUCCUGGUGUAGCGGUGAAAUGCGUAGAGAUCAGGAGGAACACCUGUGGUGUAGACAGCUUACUGGACCACUUCUGACGCUGAGACACGAAAGCGUGGGUAGCAAACAGG
rnacentral:rRNA from 1 species